GACGUAGGGGGCCAGCGUUGUUCGGAAUUACUGGGUGUAAAGGGUUCGUAGGCGGUGCGGCAAGUCGGGAGUGAAAUCUCUGGGCUUAACCCAGAGGCUGCUUCCGAAACUGCUGUGCUUGAGUGUGGGAGAGGCGCGUGGAAUCGCAGGUGUAGCGGUGAAAUGCGUAGAUAUCUGCAGGAACACCCGUGGCGAAAGCGGCGCGCUGGACCACUACUGACGCUGAGGAACGAAAGCGUGGGGAGCGAACAGG
rnacentral:rRNA from 1 species